rnacentral:rRNA from 1 species
AACGAACGCUGGCGGCAGGCUUAACACAUGCAAGUCGAGCGCCCCGCAAGGGGGGCGGCAGACGGGUGAGUAAGGCGUGGGAAUCUACCCAUCUCUACGGACUAACGCAUGGAAACGUGUGCUAAUACCGUAUACGUCCUUCGGGAGAAAGAUUUAUCGGAGAUGGAUGAGCCCGCGUUGGAUUAGCUAGUUUGUGGGGUAAAGGCCUACCAAGGCUACGAUCCAUAGCUGGUCUGAGAGGAUGAUCAGCCACACUGGGACUGAGACACGGCCCAGACUCCUACGGGAGGCAGCAGUGGGGAAUAUUGGACAAUGGGCGCAAGCCUGAUCCAGCAAUGCCGCGUGAGUGAUGAAGGCCCUAGGGUUGUAAAGCUCUUUCACCGGUGAAGAUAAUGACGGUAACCGGAGAAGAAGCCCCGGCUAACUUCGUGCCAGCAGCCGCAGUAAUAC